AUGGGCACGGCGGGGCGUGCCUGCAUCAGCCGUGGGUGCAUGGACACGGCAGGGUGUGCGUCCUUCAGCCGUGGGUGCAUGGACAGGGUGGGGUGUGCACACAUCAGCUGUGGGUGCAUGGACACGGCAGGGUGUGCCUGCAUCGCCCGUGGGUGCGUGGACACGAUGGGGCGUGCAUCCAUCGCCCGUGGGUGCAUGGACACGGCGGGGUGUGAAUGCUUCAGCCGUGGGUGCAUGGACAUGGUGGGGUGUGCCUGCAUCGCCCGUGGGUGUAUGGACACAGUGGGGUGUGCACACAACAGCUGUGGGUGCAUGGACACGGCAGGGUGUGCAUCCUUCAGCCGUGGGUGCAUGGACAUGGUGGGGUGUGCACACAUCAGUCGUGGGUGCAGGGACACGGCAGGGUGUGCCUGCAUCGCCCGUGGGUGCAUGGACACGGCAGGUUGUGAAUGCUUCAGCCAUGGGUGCAUGGACACGGCAGGGUGUGCACACAUCAGCCGUGGGUGCAGGCACAUGGCAGGGUGUGCGUCCAUCAUUCUGGGUGCGUGGACACAACGGGGCAUGCAUCCAUCAGUCGUGGAUGCAGGGACUUGGCAGGGUGUGCACACAUCACCCGUGGGUGCAUGGACACGGCGGGGUGUGCCUGUAUCGCCUGUGGGUGCACGGACACGGCGGGGUGUGAAUGCUUCAGCCAUGGGUGCAUGGACAGGGUGGGGUGUGCACACAUCACCCGUGGGUGCAGGGACAUGGCGGGGUGUGCCUGCAUCGCCCGUGGGUGCGUGGACACAGUGGGGUGUGCGUCCAUCAGUGUGUCCGUCAGUGGGUGCAAUCCCCACCUCUGGGCACACUACCCAGGCGGGGGGGGGUGUGUCCCCCAUGGGUGCGUGGGCCCUGCACCCCUCACCCCGUGUGUGUCCCCAGCCCGUGGGUGCAUGGCCUGGGCAGGUGGUGGGCUCAGAGUUGUGUGCGUGGCGUCAUCCCUGCUUGCCGUGGGUGCCGUGCACGCAGGGUUUCAAUGUGUGUGGGUGCCAGCUGGGUGACGUCUGGGUGCUGGGCAUCUGGGUUGCUCACGGGGCAAACGCUGCCCAUCCCCUGGGUGAAGCUGCAGGUCGGGGCACUGCCCCGCAGCAGGCACUAACGGCCCCGCAGCAGCAACGUUCUCCUCCUCCUGGCGCCGCCGAAGGUGUCCCCAGCGGUGCUGGGCAGGCUGGGGACCUGGUGCUGAGCUCCCAGUCUCUCCCAUCAGCAGAGAGCACUGUUCAGUCACCGCUGGGCUUGGCUCGGGGCCAUUUCUCCUCUGGACACAAAGCCCUUGCCAUGUUCCCCGCCGUGCUCCCCGCUUAG
rnacentral:lncRNA from 1 species